UGCUCUCCAGCUCCUGACGCACGCCUUCAUGCUGAGAAGCCAGUGAGCAAACGUGCACCGACUUCCGGCUUUAAACCCUCAAUCCUCUGCUUUGCUGUGGGGAAUGAUGGUUAAGGGACUUAUUUUCCUAAUGUAAAUCCGACCUAAAUGGUGAAUCCCAUUUAACCAGAUCCUGCAGCAUUAUUGGAAAGUUUUAGUUAACGCCGACCUUAAGGUUCAGGAUUUCAUUACAUAACCCUGGCUAUCCUGGAACUUGCUAUGUAGACCAGGUUAGCUUUGAACUCACGGAGAUCUGCCUGCCUCUACCUCGGAGUGCUGAAUAUUAAAGGUGUGAGCCACCACACCCAGCUUAGUUCUUUUAAGUUUAAAAUAAAUUGCACACAUUUUGCCUGAUAGCAUGCUU
rnacentral:lncRNA from 1 species